UCCCUGGUGGUCCAGUGGUUAGGACUCUGCCCUCUCAAUGCAGGGGAACCAGGUUCAAUUUCUGCUCAGGGAA
rnacentral:tRNA from 1 species